UGGGGAAUAUUGCACAAUGGGCGCAAGCCUGAUGCAGCCAUGCCGCGUGUAUGAAGAAGGCCUUCGGGUUGUAAAGUACUUUCAGCGGGGAGGAAGGGAGUAAAGUUAAUACCUUUGCUCAUUGACGUUACCCGCAGAAGAAGCACCGGCUAACUCCGUGCCAGCCGCCGCGGUAAUACGGAGGGUGCAAGCGUUAAUCGGAAUUACUGGGCGUAAAGCGCACGCAGGCGGUUUGUUAAGUCAGAUGUGAAAUCCCCGGGCUCAACCUGGGAACUGCAUCUGAUACUGGCAAGCUUGAGUCUCGUAGAGGGGGGUAGAAUUCCAGGUGUAGCGGUGAAAUGCGUAGAGAUCUGGAGGAAUACCGGUGGCGAAGGCGGCCCCCUGGACGAAGACUGACGCUCAGGUGCGAAAGCGUGGGGAGCAAACA
rnacentral:rRNA from 1 species